UACGGAGGGGGCUAGCGUUGUUCGGAAUUACUGGGCGUAAAGGGCGCGUAGGCGGGAUGGCAAGUCGGUCGUGAAAUCCCUCGGCUCAACCGAGGAACGUCGAUCGAUACUGCUGUUCUUGAGGAUUGCAGAGGAGACUGGAAUUCCUGGUGUAGCGGUGGAAUGCGCAGAUAUCAGGAGGAACACCGGUGGCGAAGGCGGGAUCCUGGGCCAGUACUGACGCUGAGGAGCGAAAGCGUGGGGAGCAAACAGG
rnacentral:rRNA from 1 species